GUGGGGAAUUUUGGACAAUGGGCGCAAGCCUGAUCCAGCAAUGCCGCGUGCAGGAAGAAGGCCUUCGGGUUGUAAACUGCAUUUGUACGGAACGAAACGGUCCGGGUUAAUACCCUGGGCUAAUGACGGUACCGUAAGAAUAAGCACCGGCUAACUACGUGCCAGCAGCCGCGGUAAUACGUAGGGUGCAAGCGUUAAUCGGAAUUACUGGGCGUAAAGCGUGCGCAGGCGGUUUUGUAAGACAGGCGUGAAAUCCCCGGGCUCAACCUGGGAAUUGCGCUUGUGACUGCAAGGCUGGAGUGCGGCAGAGGGGGAUGGAAUUCCGCGUGUAGCAGUGAAAUGCGUAGAUAUGCGGAGGAACACCGAUGGCGAAGGCAAUCCCCUGGGCCUGCACUGACGCUCAUGCACGAAAGCGUGGGGAGCAAACAGGAUUAGAAACCCCAGUAGUCC
rnacentral:rRNA from 1 species